GUAACUCAAAGAAGCCUCGCACACAGACGCAUGCACGCACGCAGACCUCUUUUGAUACCUCAGGGACACUGAGAACUAAGGGAUUCCGAGGCCAGGUAGGAGAGCUGCAGCCCUGGAAGGAAGCCCGGGCUGUAGGGCUGCCAGGCCCCACUGGUCUUCUACCCAAAGACAGAGGAGAAUGUCUUUCCUGGGUAAACUCUCCUUCCAGUGACCUUCCUGAGUGAUCCUGUCCUUACUGACAGUGCAGGAUGCCCAGGACUGGCUGGCUUAUCAGCAAAAUGCACCUCUUUUUAAAUUAUGCUGCCUGUUUUCCCUGAAGAGGAAAGCUCUGUCUAAUCCAAAUAAUAUAGGGGAAAUGUUUGUAACUGUGAUGUCACUGUCUGUGGUUGGAAAUUAAAAAGCAGAGAGGACAUAUGCCAACAUCUGCCUCUGGGAUUUCUUUACCUGUCUCUCAAUACAGUAGCAGAGCCUCUGAGACCUCAGACCAUUCACCGUUAUCUUUGGUCGUCAAGAGGACAAACACCUCUAGCCCUAAAGCAUGCAUUAUCACAAUCAUUGGGUUUAAAAAUAUAUAGAUAGUUUCAAUAAAAGGGAUGACUAGAUUAAAAAAAAUAAGAAAGUUUGUUAACUAA